AAUGAAAGAGACGGAUAAAAAAGAAAGACAGACAUAAAAGAAGAGACAAAGAGAAAAUCACAACUUUUGCCUUUGGACCGAACCAACUAUCUUUAUUCCCAAAGGGUUUCUUUCCUUGGAUUAUCUCUCUACCUUCAGCAGUGAAACCUGAUGUGACACAUUGACACUGAACAAGUUUUAAAAACUUUGAAGUCUUAAACUUUGCCGACUCCCAUCGCAACAAAACAUCACCUUUGACCUCCACUCAAUUCUAUGGCUACUGAAGACUACUUCCUAUCAGCAGGGACAACUGUCAGGACAACUAUGCAUUAGCUCACUGGUAAUAUUAUAGCCAUCUGCAAGUCCUUUCCUCCAACAUUCAUUCAAACCUGCCUUUUUGGGGAACCUGAAAACUGAGCAUCAUGGAGGUGCUGAGUGGCCCCUGGGCCAACUUGGCUCUGCUCCUUCGACAGACUAUCAUGCAGACGGACAGAGAGACGGACAGCUUUCUUCCUCUCUGGCUGUUCGGCCUGCUGCUGUUUCUGUGCGUCUGUCUGCUGAUGCUGCAGCUGGUUAUCUACCUCAGCUGGAAGCUCAGACAGGUUGAGAAUGAUCUGUCGGGGCUUCCUCAAGACAGACACGCCAUCUACAGGCAGAACUGCAGAAGUACACACCAGAGGACGAGGAGUGUUGGCUCUCACUCCAACACCUGACAGAAGACACAUACUGCAUCAACAGACCAGACACUUGAAACCUGCUGAAAUGAACACAAACUCUACAGAGAAAUGUGACCAAUGUUUAACACCAGCAGGGAGGGACACAUCUCAGACAAAAAAAAAAAUUGUUGACGCCUGUAAAGAAAAAAAAAAGAAAACCUGUCACAGAUCUGUGGGAUUAUUUGUCCAUUCGUCUUUAAAACCCUCAGGAACAUCUGGAAAUAUCAUGACAACUGUCUGUGACCUUCUUUAAUAACAUUAUUGAGCUUGGACAAAGGCAUUUCUAGAAUUGUAUUUAUUCUUUUUUUUACAAAGUUUGAGAAACUGUAAAUUAUCAUUAUUGUAUAACUGCACACUAAAGUUUCAUCAUUAGUCAACCUGAGCUGGAAAUACUGUACUCUGGUUAGUUGUAUGAAAAUGAACAUGUAGGAUUUAAGUUUAUAUGAAUGAAUGAAGAAAUGAUCAGGUCAACAGAUUUCAGAGUAUAACAAUCCUUUAUUUAAACAGUGUUACACAGGGUGGGAGGAGUGGCUGUGGGUGGGGGAGACACAAGACAAUCAAGCUGCUAGAUAGAAAAACCCUACCGGUGAUCAUUGGUUGGCUACAGAGGAAACGAUGACGCAGCUGUGGUUGGUUUUCCAAAAUGUGUUUGUGUACAAAGUCUUUUUUUUUUUUCUGGGAGUUUUUAAAGUAGCUAAAAUACAAAAAUGAUGCUGGUGUUAGUGGACACUGCCUCAUCUGUGGUACAAAGCCUGAGAUAUAACUGUAAAGAAGAAGGUAGUCCAAUUAUCAUUUUACUUUUAAAACAUCCAAUUCAUCUGCAUUUUUUAAUUAGAUCUAAUUGAAUAGCAAUUUAGUGUU